AAUUGGCUCCAAACAUUUGUGGUGCCACAAAUCCCCCAUCCACAAUUGAUGAUACUGAAGAGCUGACCACUGAGAGCAAGUGCAUCCAUACAGCUGUCAGCCACCCAAAUCAGACCAGUCCAGAGCUCGGCCCUCUCACCAAGGCCCUUGAUGACAAAUUGGCUCCAAACAUUUGUGGUGCCACAAAUCCCCA